CGGCGAGGGGAGUGAAAAAGAACCUGAAACCGUGUACGUACAAGCAGUGGGAGCACAGAGCAAUCUGUGUGACUGCGUACCUUUUGUAUAAUGGGUCAGCGACUUAUAUUCUGUAGCAAGGUUAACCGAAUAGGGGAGCCGAAGGGAAACCGAGUCUUAACUGGGCGUUAAGUUGCAGGGUAUAGACCCGAAACCCGGUGAUCUAGCCAUGGGCAGGUUGAAGGUUGGGUAACACUAACUGGAGGACCGAACCGACUAAUGUUGAAAAAUUAGCGGAUGACUUGUGGCUGGGGGUGAAAGGCCAAUCAAACCGGGAGAUAGCUGGUUCUCCCCGAAAGCUAUUUAGGUAGCGCCUCGUGAAUUCAUCUC
rnacentral:rRNA from 1 species